GACGUAGGAUGCAAGCGUUGUCCGGAUUUAUUGGGCGUAAAGAGUUCGUAGGUGGUUUGUUAAGUCUGAUGUCAAAGACCGGGGCUCAACUUCGGGACUGCAUUGGAUACUGGCAGACUUGAGUGUGGUAGAGGCAAUCGGAAUUCCAGGUGUAGCGGUGAAAUGCGUAGAUAUCUGGAAGAACACCGGUGGCGCAAGCGGAUUGCUGGGCCAUAACUGACACUGAGGAACGAAAGCUAGGGGAGCGAAUGGG
rnacentral:rRNA from 1 species